GACGAACGCUGGCGGCGUGCUUAACACAUGCAAGUCGAACGGAAAGGCCCUGCUUUUGUGGGGUGCUCGAGUGGCGAACGGGUGAGUAACACGUGAGUAACCUGCCCUUGACUUUGGGAUAACUUCAGGAAACUGGGGCUAAUACCGGAUAGGAGCUCCUGCUGCAUGGUGGGGGUUGGAAAGUUUCGGCGGUUGGGGAUGGACUCGCGGCUUAUCAGCUUGUUGGUGGGGUAGUGGCUUACCAAGGCUUUGACGGGUAGCCGGCCUGAGAGGGUGACCGGCGACAUUGGGACUGAGAUGCGGCCCAGACUCGUACGGGAGGCAGCAGUGGGGAAUAUUGCACAAUGGGCGGAAGCCUGAUGCAGAAACGCCGCGUGCGGGAUGACGGCCUUCGGGUUGUAAACCGCUUUCGCCUGUGACGAAGCGUGAGUGACGGUAAUGGGUAAAGAAGCACCGGCUAACUACGUG
rnacentral:rRNA from 1 species